rnacentral:rRNA from 1 species
UACGUAGGCAGCGAGCGUUGUUCGGAAUUACUGGGCGUAAAGAGUGUGUAGGCGGUGCUCUAAGUUCGGUGUGAAAUCUCCUGGCUUAACCUGGGAACUGCAUCCGAUACUGGAUGGCUUGAAUCCGGGAGAGGGAUGCAGAAUUCCAGGUGUAGCGGUGAAAUGCGUAGAUAUCUGGAGGAAUACCGGUGGCGAAGGCGGCAUCCUGGACCGGCAUUGACGCUGAUGAGCGAAAGCUAGGGGAGCAAACGGG